UACGAGGGGGGCUAGUGUUGUUCGGAAUCACUGGGCGUAAAGGGAGCGUAGGCGGGUGUCUAAGUUGGGUGUUUAAUUCCGGGGCCCAACCCCGGGCGUGCACUCAAAACUGGGCAUCUUGAAUAGGGGAGAGGUCGGUGGAAUUGGAGGUGUAGCGGUGGAAUGCGCAGAUAUCAGGAGGAACACCAAUAGCGAAGGCAGCUCGCUGGGACGGUACUGACGCUAAGGCGCGAAAGCGUGGGGAGCGAACAGG
rnacentral:rRNA from 1 species